rnacentral:lncRNA from 10 species
CUUAACGCCAUUUCUCUGGUACAGAUGGGGGUCUGAGGAACCAAGUGCUCCGCCUGAACAAGGACGACCUGGAGAGGUCUGUUGCCUGAAUGAGAGUCACUGAGUUUACACUGCAGGAGAGCAGCUCCCAAGACCAAGGCCCUGCGAUUCCCAGAGGCCGUCGGACUGCCGCAUCCCUUGGCGUGAACGGGCCCUGAACUUUGGUUAAACACAAACAAGCCCCAAGAAAAGGGAAAGCGAAAACCAGAGGCACUGGAGGAAUCACAACAAAAAGCACCUUGAGAAGCACCUACAAGACAGCAGCGCAGCGUGGCCAGCUCCCUGCCUCAAGCACCAGGCAGGCUAACCCAGGUUCCGAGAGGGGGCAGGUCAACACUGGAUAAAAUAAACUCCAGGAGGCCGGGCACAGUGGCUUACGCCUGUAAUCCCAGCACUUUGGGAGGCCGAGGCGGGUGGAUCACUCAAGGUCAGGAGUUCAAGACCAGCCUGGCCAACAUGGUGAAACCCCAUGUCUACUAAAAUACAAAAAUUAGCCAGGUGUGGUGGUGGGCACCUG